rnacentral:lncRNA from 1 species
GGAGGAAAAUGUAAUUGUGUAUGAUGCAUGGUGCAAUUGGCAAUUGUGUAUGGUGUAAUCGGUACUGUUGUCUAGUACAAUGGGCACUAAAAUAAUUUAGGUGGCUAACUUAAAAAUACUGAACUCCCAGUAAAAUUCAUAGCGGAAACUCCCUAAUCAUAUACACAUCAAACAAGUGCACAACAACUGUCAUAUUCCUGACUUGGUACAGGCAUUUUCAAAUGUAGACGAUGGUAGAUUGAACCUAAUUUUAUAGCGCUAAAUCUCUCACUUUUAUGACAGUCGCAUCAAAAGCAUCCUCAUUGUUCUAAAAAGUUUUAAUUGUGGGAAUUGGGUUUUUAAAGUUAAAUCCCGUAAAUUAAACAUUUCAAAGAUGAUUCUUUAACAUUGUCGGAUACAUAGUAUCACCGCUAGACCUGAAAUGCAGACAUUCGAUGUGUGUAGCACAAUUCAGACAAUGUGAUCUAUUGCAUUUUCUUAUAAAAUACAUUUAUCUUAAAUCCAUCUCUGCGCAUCAUCAAAUACAAUAUUGCACAGAUGUUUUGUCAAUUUUAGAAUAUGAUAGUUUUUU